rnacentral:rRNA from 1 species
AACGAACGCUGGCGGCAUGCCUAACACAUGCAAGUCGAACGAGACCUUCGGGUCUAGUGGCGCACGGGUGCGUAACGCGUGGGAACCUGCCCUUAGGUUCGGCAUAACUCCCCGAAAGGGGUGCUAAUACCGGAUAAUGUCUUCGGACCAAAGAUUUAUCGCCUUUGGAUGUGCCCGCGUUGGAUUAGCUAGUUGGUAGGGUAAAAGCCUACCAAGGCGACGAUCCAUAGCUGGUCUGAGAGGAUGAUCAGCCACACUGGGACUGAGACACGGCCCAGACUCCUACGGGAGGCAGCAGUGGGGAAUAUAGGACAAUGGGCGAAAGCCUGAUCCAGCAAUGCCGCGUGAGUGAUGAAGGCCUUAGGGUUGUAAAGCUCUUUUACCCGGGAUGAUAAUGACAGUACCGGGAGAAUAAGCUCCGGCUAACUCCGUG